rnacentral:rRNA from 1 species
UACAGAGGUCUCAAGCGUUGUUCGGAUUCAUUGGGCGUAAAGGGGUGCGUAGGUGGCGCGAUAAGUCGGGUGUGAAAUCUCGGAGCUUAACUCCGAAAUUGCAUUCGAUACUGCCGUGCUCGAGGACUGGAGAGGAGACUGGAAUUCAUGGUGUAGCAGUGAAAUGCGUAGAGAUCAUGAGGAAGACCAGUGGCGAAGGCGGGUCUCUGGACAGUUCCUGACACUGAGGCACGAAGGCCAGGGGAGCAAACGGG